rnacentral:lncRNA from 1 species
CUAAACUACGACACCAAGCGACAGAAUAGACGUUGAACCAGCAAUAUGUAGUACAUGUAUACUGCACAGUAAGCAAAAAUUAAUCCCUUCGAUUAGAAGUUAAUCAACAAAACAGGCCUCUGCAGUUGGAUGGAGAUUAUCAAGAUUAAAAACCAAUGAUUAUUACCAAAGUUGAAGUGGAGAAUGACAGAGUUCUGCAAGUGGUUGAAGAUUGCCACAGUUUCAAGGAAUCCUCCUUCCAUCAACACCUAUGAAACAGAAAUGGGUAAGUUGAGUUAAUUCUGGCUGGUAACAGAGAUGACUGAUAAUUAUUAAUCAGAUUUCUAAACUAAUUUCAAAAUGGUACAACGCAUUUGUCAAUGACAUUUAAGCUGAUUUAGCUACUUCCAGAUUUCCAUGGACUUUACAGGCGAAGGCCGAAAGGUAUGAUCUCUGCUCUGCUCUGCUCAUUUGGCGUUGAACUUGAUUAAUUUAUCACCUGGAACUGAGUUACAAGCAGGAGCAACUUGAUUUGGCCUUGCACCUGAAAUUGAGUUAAAGCAUUUCAAGUGCACUAGCAGUUUUAUCACGCCUUUGCAGUAAACACUGGGCCUUCUUCCUUUCUAUCAAUCCAACUUUUACUACAUAACCAUAGACUCGCAUAAUUUUACAACAUGCCCAUAACUACAAGCCACAACCGUGGAGUUCCAAGACACUACAUUAGAAGUAGCCCACCUGAUUCUUGUCUUAUUGCCAAUAUGUCCUCACAUAGAUCACCAUCCUCCACGUCUUCACAUUUCUUACACGCAUUUCAUCAAACAAUCCAUAGGCAAAGUGAGUUUUAUUCACCCAUUAGUCUAUAGAUGCCAUAAAUUAAUUAUAGUCUCCCAAUUGGCCUUAAAUAAAUGAUAUCUU